rnacentral:rRNA from 1 species
GUCGAACGCUGGCGGCGUGCCUAAUACAUGCAAGUAGAACGCAGUUGCGAACGGGUGAGAAACGCGUAGGUAACUGCCUCAUAGCGGGGGAUAACUAUUGGGAACGAUAGCUUAUACCGCAUACUGUGAGAUGGACCUGCGUUGCAUUAGCUAGUUGGGGAGGUGAAGGCUCACCAAGGCGACGAUACAUUGCCUACCUGGGAGGGUGAUCGGUCAAACUUGGACUGAGGACAGGGCCAGACUACGACGGGAGGCAGGAGUAGGGAAACAUUGGAAAUGGAGGGAAGUCUUACCGAGCAACUCCGGGGGAGAUAAGAAGGUGUUUGGAGCGGUAAGCUAUGUUGUGAGAGAAGCGGUAACUACACAGAAAGGGACGGCUAACUCCGUGCCAGCAGCCGCGGUAAUAC